CUUCGGGUGAGCGGCGGACGGGUUAGUAACGCGUGGGAAUAUGCCCAAAGGUACGGAAUAGCCUCUGGAAACGGAGAGUAAUACCGUAUGUGCCCUUCGGGGGAAAGAUUUAUCGCCUUUGGAUUAGCCCGCGUUGGAUUAGGUAGUUGGUGGGGUAAUGGCCUACCAAGCCUACGAUCCAUAGCUGGUUUGAGAGGAUGAUCAGCAACACUGGGACUGAGACACGGCCCAGACUCCUACGGGAGGCAGCAGUAGGGAAUCUUAGACAAUGGGCGAAAGCCUGAUCUAGCCAUGCCGCGUGAGUGAAGAAGGCCCUAGGGUCGUAAAGCUCUUUCGCCAGGGAUGAUAAUGACAGUACCUGGUAAAGAAACCCCGGCUAACUCCGUGCCAGCAGCCGCGGUAAUACGGAGGGGGUUAGCGUUGUUCGGAAUUACUGGGCGUAAAGCGUACGUAGGCGGAUUAGUCAGUCAGAGGUGAAAUCCCAGGGCUCAACCCUGGAACUGCCUUUGAUACUGCUAGUCUUGAGUUCGAGAGAGGUGAGUGGAAUUCCAAGUGUAGAGGUGAAAUUCGUAGAUAUUUGGAGGAACACCAGUGGCGAAGGCGGCUCACUGGCUCGAUACUGACGCUGAGGUACGAAAGUGUGGGGAGCAAACAGGAUUAGAUACCCUGGUAGUCCACACCGUAAACGAUGAAUGCCAGUG
rnacentral:rRNA from 1 species